CAACUCAGAUAGCAUGCAGUCUAGUACGAGCUCUCGUACAGCGAAACUGCGAAUGGCUCAUUAAAUCAGUUAUGGUUCAUUUGAUCGUACGUGUUACUUGGAUAACUGUGGAAAUGCUAGAGCUAAUACAUGCAAAAAGCGCCGACUUCGCGGGAGGCGUGCUUUUAUCAGACCAAAAACCGACCGGGCUCCGGCCCGUCGCUUUGGUGACUCUGGAUAACUUGGCGGAUCGCACGGUCGUGUACCGGCGACGGAUCAUUCAAGUGUCUGCCCUAUCAACUUUCGUCGGUACGGUAUCGGCCUACCGAGGUUCUUACGGGUGACGGGGAAUCAGGGUUCGAUUCCGGAGAGGGAGCCUGAGAAACGGCUACCACAUCCAAGGAAGGAAGCAGGCGCGCAAAUUACCCACUCCCGACUCGGGGAGGUAGUGACGAAAAAUAACAAUACAGGACUCUCAACGAGGCCCUGUAAUUGGAAUGAGUACACUUUAAACCCUUUAACGAGUAUCCAUUGGAGAGCAAGUCUGGUGCCAGCAGCCGCGGUAAUUCCAGCUCCAAAAGUGUAUAUUUAAGUUGCUGCGGUUAAAAAGCUCGUAGUUGGACUUUGGGCGCGGGCGGCCGGUCCGUCGAAAGGCGUGCACUGGCCGUUCCCGGCCUCGACCUCCGGUUUCUCGCCUGUGCUCUUGACUGAGUGUCGGCGGCGGCCGGAACGUUUACUUUGAAAAAAUUAGAGUGUUCAAAGCAGGCGCGUCACCUGAAUAAUGGUGCAUGGAAUAAUGGAAUACGACCUCGGUUCUAUUUUGUUAGUUUUCGGAGCGCGAGGUAAUGAUUAAGAGGGACAGUCGGGGGCAUUCGUACUGUGCCCUUAGAGGUGAAAUUCAAGGAUCGGCGCAGACGACUAAUGCAGAACGCAUUUGCCCAGAAACUAUCAUUAAUAAGAACGAAAGUCAGAGGUUCGUAGAGCAUCAAUACGGUCUAGGUCGCAGCAUUGAAGUAUGUCAACUAGUGAUCGUCGGAGGUUAUGUCUGCCGACCGCGCUGGAUCUACAGCACAGCCAGAUUCUGGAGAUCGGGUGAGUAUGUGAACAGCUGUAAUCUAUCAGUAAAUGGACGAAGGCCACACGCAGAUAGGAACUGCAGCUAGUGACGCACCCGUUAAUAACCUUCGAACCGAAUCCGUCACUGACAUGACUCAUGAGUCGCUAUGCUAUCACUGGGUCUA
rnacentral:rRNA from 1 species